AUUUCUCGUUGUAUCAACUUUUAUAUAAACAAAAUUACUGGCUAUCACAAAAACUUUGAUGACUUUUUGUCUUCUAAUAACACUAGUAGUAGUUUCGUUGUCUAACCACAACGUUUUGGCAUCAGGUGAAGAGCUGAAAAAAGUCAGAUACACUUGCGAACAAACAUUGUGUACGUACCGUUACGGAAACCAUGAAUGCUUCGUUGACUGUGUUAUGGAACAUCAUAGAGAUGGAGAGUGUAGAUCUCCUUCCCCUAAGGCUCCUUUACAAUGUUGUUGCGUUGAUUAGUGAUUAAUGAUUGGAUAGACUGUAUCAUUUUUCAUUUAUAAUAAAGGAAAUAAUGUGAUUAUCUCUGACUGGAGUUUAGAAGAUGUAGCUUACCAAAAAAUACUAAAGAAAUACUUUUUUCACCAAAA